GAGUUUGAUCGUGGCUCAGGAUGAACGCUGGCGGCGUGCCUAAUACAUGCAAGUCGAGCGAACGGACGAGAAGCUUGCUCCUCUGAUGUUAGCGGCGGACGGGUGAGUAACACGUGGAUAACCUACCUAUAAGACUGGGAUAACUUCGGGAAACCGGAGCUAAUACCGGAUAAUAUUUUGAACCGCAUGGUUCAAAAGUGAAAGACGGUCUUGCUGUCACUUAUAGAUGGAUCCGCGCUGCAUUAGCUAGUUGGUAAGGUAACGGCUUACCAAGGCAACGAUGCAUAGCCGACCUGAGAGGGUGAUCGGCCACACUGGAACUGAGACACGGUCCAGACUCCUACGGGAGGCAGCAGUAGGGAAUCUUCCGCAAUGGGCGAAAGCCUGACGGAGCAACGCCGCGUGAGUGAUGAAGGUCUUCGGAUCGUAAAACUCUGUUAUUAGGGAAGAACAUAUGUGUAAGUAACUGUGCACAUCUUGACGGUACCUAAUCAGAAAGCCACGGCUAACUACGUCG
rnacentral:rRNA from 1 species